UCUCCGUAGGUGAGCCUGCGGAAGGAUCAUUAUUGUAUAACCGAGGUGCGAGGGCCGUCGCUGACCCGAAAGGUCGUGCACGCCCGAGUGCCCUCACACACAUCCAUCUCACCCCUAUGUGCACCACCGCGUGGGUCCCCCUUUGGCUUGUUCGGAGGGGGGCUUACGUUUUCACACAAACUUUGUAUGCAGUGUAGAAUGUAUUUUUUGUUUUUGCGAUCACGCAAUCAAUACAACUUUCAACAACGGAUCUCUUGGCUCUC
rnacentral:misc_RNA from 1 species